UACGGGGGGGAGCAAGCGUUGUUCGGAUUUACUGGGCGUAAAGGGCGCGUAGGCGGCGUGGUAAGUCACUUGUGAAAUCUCUGAGCUUAACUCAGAACGGCCAAGUGAUACUGCUGUGCUAGAGUGCAGAAGGGGCAAUCGGAAUUCUUGGUGUAGCGGUGAAAUGCGUAGAUAUCGAGAGGAACACCUGCGGCGAAGGCGGGUUGCUGGGCUGACACUGACGCUGAUGCGCGAAAGCCAGGGGAGCGAACGGG
rnacentral:rRNA from 1 species